rnacentral:snRNA from 1 species
GUGCUCAUUUCAGGAAGCACAGAUACUGAAAUUAAAACAAUACAGAGUAAAUUAGCAUUGCCUGUUGCUAACAUGCAAAUUUGUGAAGCAGUAUACAUUUCU